rnacentral:rRNA from 1 species
AUGCAAGUCGAGCGGUAGCACAGAGAGCUUGCUCUCGGGUGACGAGCGGCGGACGGGUGAGUAAUGUCUGGGAAACUGCCUGAUGGAGGGGGAUAACUACUGGAAACGGUAGCUAAUACCGCAUAACGUCGCAAGACCAAAGUGGGGGACCUUCGGGCCUCAUGCCAUCAGAUGUGCCCAGAUGGGAUUAGCUAGUAGGUGGGGUAACGGCUCACCUAGGCGACGAUCCCUAGCUGGUCUGAGAGGAUGACCAGCCACACUGGAACUGAGACACGGUCCAGACUCCUACGGGAGGCAGCAGUGGGGAAUAUUGCACAAUGGGCGCAAGCCUGAUGCAGCCAUGCCGCGUGUGUGAAGAAGGCCUUCGGGUUGUAAAGCACUUUCAGCGGGGAGGAAGGCGAUAAGGUUAAUAACCUUGUCGAUUGACGUUACCCGCAGAAGAAGCACCGGCUAACUCCGUGCCAGCAGCCGCGGUAAUACGGAGGGUGCAAGCGUUAAUCGGAAUUACUGGGCGUAAAGCGCACGCAGGCGGUCUGUCAAGUCGGAUGUGAAAUCCCCGGGCUCAACCUGGGAACUGCAUUCGAAACUGGCAGGCUAGAGUCUUGUAGAGGGGGGUAGAAUUCCAGGUGUAGCGGUGAAAUGCGUAGAGAUCUGGAGGAAUACCGGUGGCGAAGGCGGCCCCCUGGACAAAGACUGACGCUCAGGUGCGAAAGCGUGGGGGAGCAAACAGGAUUAGAUACCCUGGUAGUCCACGCCGUAAACGAUGUCGAUUUGGAGGUUGUGCCCUUGAGGCGUGGCUUCCGGAGCUAACGCGUUAAAUCGACCGCCUGGGGAGUACGGCCGCAAGGUUAAAACUCAAAUGAAUUGACGGGGGCCCGCACAAGCGGUGGAGCAUGUGGUUUAAUUCGAUGCAACGCGAAGAACCUUACCUGGUCUUGACAUCCACAGAACUUACCAGAGAUGGCUUGGUGCCUUCGGGAACUGUGAGACAGGUGCUGCAUGGCUGUCGUCAGCUCGUGUUGUGAAAUGUUGGGUUAAGUCCCGCAACGAGCGCAACCCUUAUCCUUUGUUGCCAGCGGUUAGGCCGGGAACUCAAAGGAGACUGCCAGUGAUAAACUGGAGGAAGGUGGGGAUGACGUCAAGUCAUCAUGGCCCUUACGACCAGGGCUACACACGUGCUACAAUGGCAUAUACAAAGAGAAGCGACCUCGCGAGAGCAAGCGGACCUCAUAAAGUAUGUCGUAGUCCGGAUUGGAGUCUGCAACUCGACUCCAUGAAGUCGGAAUCGCUAGUAAUCGUAGAUCAGAAUGCUACGGUGAAUACGUUCCCGGGCCUUGUACACACCGCCCGUCACACCAUGGGAGUGGGUUGCAAAAGAAGUAGGUAGCUUAACCUUCGGGAGGGCGCU